rnacentral:rRNA from 1 species
UACAGGGGUCUCAAGCGUUGUUCGGAUUCAUUGGGCGUAAAGGGUGCGUAGGCGGCGCGGUAAGUCGGGUGUGAAAUCUCGGGGCUUAACUCCGAAACUGCAUUCGAUACUACCGUGCUUGAGGACUGGAGAGGAGACUGGAAUUUACGGUGUAGCGGUGAAAUGCGUAGAUAUCGUAAGGAAGACCAGUGGCGAAGGCGGGUCUCAGGACAGUUCCUGACGCUGAGGCACGAAGGCCAGGGGAGCAAACGGG